AGUGAACGCUGGCGGCGUGCCUAAUACAUGCAAGUCGAACGGAGUGGCGCACGGGUGAGUAAUAUAUAGCUAAUCUGCCCCUUGCUGGCGGACAACAGUUAGAAAUGACUGCUAAUACUCCAUAGCAAGGGAUGUGACUAUAUCGUAUCAGCGCGUCGGUGGAGUAACGGCCUACAGAGGCUAUGACGCGUAACUGGUCUGAGAGGAUGAUCAGGCACAUGGGAACUGAGACACGGUCCAAACUCCUACGGGAGGCAGCAGUAUGGAAUAUUGCGCAAUGGGGGAAACCCUGACGAAGCAACGCCGCUUGGAGGAUGACACUUUUCGGAGCGUAAACUCCGUUUGUUAGGGAAGCGGUACCUAACGAAUAAGCACCGGCUAACUCCGUGCCAGCAGCCGCGGUAAUUC
rnacentral:rRNA from 1 species